GGGGUUGUAGCUCAGUGGUAGAGCAGUUGCCUAGCAUGUAUGAGGCACUGGGUUUGAUCCCCAGCACCA
rnacentral:tRNA from 1 species